rnacentral:snRNA from 1 species
GAUCUCUGGUUUCCCUUCAAAACGCACAAAUCUUUCGCCUUUUACUAAAGAUUUCCGUGGAGGGGAACACUCAAAUGAGUAUUCGCGCAUUUCUUACGGCGACCAUACGGUGGCC